ACCGGGGAGGAGCCUGCCAGUAUGAGUUCAGUCAGGAAGAAAGGAGAGCUGCCCAGGAUGUAAGAUGAUGCCAUUCCGGCCUGCCUGGUUCUCUUGUGCUGUGCCAGGAUCCCUGCUGAGUGCUGGGAACACAAGGUUAUCACUGGGGCUCAGUGCCUAUAUGAUUAAUCUACUGCUCCUGAUGGUUGGUCAUUUUUCUUUAUCUUUUUCUAUCUUUGAUUUGAGAGGACAGAGAGAAAUUAAGAGAGGAAAAGAAGAUAGAGAAAGUCAACUGCAGCAUUGUUUCACUCAUCGGGAAGCUUCUCCCCACCUGCAGAUGGGGACCGAGGGACUUGAAUCCAGACCCUUGAGCAUGUCACAAAGUUCCAGAUGCUACCAUGAUGUCAACCUGAAACCCCA